AUACGGAAGGUCCGGGCGUUAUCCGGAUUUAUUGGGUUUAAAGGGAGCGCAGGCGGAGAUGCAAGCGUGACGUCAAAUUUCGGGGCUCAACCCCGUCUCGCGUCGCGAACUGCGUCCCUUGGUUGCGGGAAGGGGAGGCGGAACUCGUGGGUUAGCGGUGAAAUGCAUAGAUAUCACGAAGAACUCCGAUCGCGAAGGCAGCCUUCCGGCCCGUCAACGACGCUCAUGCUCGAAGGUGCGGGUAUCAAACAGGAUUAGAUACCCUGGUAGUCCGCACAGUAAACGAUGGACACCCGCGGUUUGGCCUGUAUGGCUGAGCCGCCAAGCGAAAGCGUUAAGUGUCCCACCUGGGGAGUACGCCGGCAACGGUGAAACUCAAAUGAAUUGGCGGGG
rnacentral:rRNA from 1 species